rnacentral:rRNA from 1 species
UGGCGGCGCGCCUAACACAUGCAAGUCGCACGAGAAAGCGGGAGCAAUCUCGCAAGUACAGUGGCGUACGGGUGAGUAACACGUGGAUUAUCUGCCCUGGAGUGGGGAAUAACGCUGGGAAACCGGCGCUAAUACCGCAUAUUCCCGAGAGGGGAAAGCAGCAAUGCGCUCGAGGAGGAGUCCGCGGCCGAUUAGCUAGUUGGUAGGGUAAAAGCCUACCAAGGCUGUGAUCGGUAGCCGGCCUGAGAGGGCACACGGCCACACUGGCACUGAAACACGGGCCAGACUCCUACGGGAGGCAGCAGUGGGGAAUCUUGCACAAUGGGGGAAACCCUGAUGCAGCGACGCCGCGUGAGCGAUGAAGCCCUUCGGGGUGUAAAGCUCUUUCGGCAGGGAAGAUUAUGACGGUACCUGCAGAAGCAGCUGCGGCUAACUACGUGCCAGCAGCCGCGGUAAUACGUAGGCAGCAAGCGUUGUUCGGAGUUACUGGGCGUAAAGGGUGUGUAGGCGGCCUGUUAAG